rnacentral:tRNA from 1 species
GUGUUAAUAAUUUAAUGAAAAUAUUGGUCUUAUAAGUCAAAAAUUAGGUUAAACCUUUUAACACU